AGGGAGCGGGGAAGUGGGGGGGGGGGAGUGACGGGGGCAAGGAGGCCCAGGCCAGGAACCCCCCCCCCCCACCCCAGCCUCCCGGGGCUCCCAGGAGGUAGAAGGGCCGAGAGAGGGAGAGGGAGAAAUGUUUGUAGAGCGAGGGGAGGGGGGACAGACGGGGGCGGGGAAAAAGAGACAGAGAGAGACAUGCAGCUCCAAGUCGGAGACAUGCCCAGAGACACAGAGACCGAGCUGCAAGAGCAGGAUCGGGAGAGAGGCCAGACGGAGGCCCAGAAAACCGGGAGGGACAGACACGCCCCCAAGAGGAAGCGACGGAGGGAAGGAGGGGAGGGAGCUCUGUGGAGACGCGGAGAUGCGGAGGGUCUGUGGAGAUGUGAAGGACCGGACGCCUGAGCUGGAGAAUGAUGGGCCUGGCCCAUGCUGGGGGCCAAGCAGAGAUCAAGUCCAGCAGCGGGCGGGUGCGGAGACUGGUGUGAGCAUUGGACACAGGGACCACAGCAGUAGGCACCGCCCUUGGCAUCAGAUGCUUGGGAGAGGUUUGUGGCAGUCAGCUUUACUCCAGGACUGGGAGAAACAGCCACACCACACAGAAGAAAGACAACUGCUUCUCAGCAUCAAGAACAGCAAGAACAGGAAUUCCCGUCAUGGCGCAUCGGAAAUGAAUCUGACUAGGAACCAUGAGGUUGCGGGUUCGAUCCCUGGCUUUGCUCCGUGGGUUAAGGAU